CACGUAGGGGCCAAGCGUUGUCCGGAUUCAUUGGGCGUAAAGAGCUCGUAGGCGGUUUGUUGCGUCGGCUGUGAAAUCCCGAGGCUCAACCUCGGGUCUGCAGUCGAUACGAGCAAACUAGAGUGUUGCAGGGGAGACUGGAAUUCCUGGUGUAGCGGUGAAAUGCGCAGAUAUCAGGAGGAACACCGGUGGCGAAGGCGGGUCUCUGGGCAACAACUGACGCUGAGGAGCGAAAGCGUGGGGAGCGAACAGG
rnacentral:rRNA from 1 species